rnacentral:rRNA from 1 species
GUAACCUGCCCUUCACUCUGGGAUAACUCCGGGAAACCGGGGCUAAUACUGGAUAUGACUCCUCCUCGCAUGGGGUGGGAGUGGAAAGCUUUUGUGGUGGAGGAUGGACUCGCGGCCUAUCAGCUUGUUGGUGAGGUAGUGGCUCACCAAGGCGACGACGGGUAGCCGGCCUGAGAGGGCGACCGGCCACACUGGGACUGAGACACGGCCCAGACUCCUACGGGAGGCAGCAGUGGGGAAUAUUGCACAAUGGGCGAAAGCCUGAUGCAGCGACGCCGCGUGAGGGAUGAAGGCCUUCGGGUUGUAAACCUCUUUCAGCUCUGAAGAAGCGAAAGUGACGGUAGGAGCAGAAGAAGCACCGGCUAACUACGUGCCAGCAGCCGCGGUAAUACGUAGGGUGCGAGCGUUGUCCGGAAUUAUUGGGCGUAAAGAGCUUGUAGGUGGUUUGUCGCGUCUGCGGUGAAAUCCCAACGCUUAACGUUGGGCUUGCCGUGGGUACGGGCAGACUAGAGUGUGGUAGGGGAGACUGGAAUUCCUGGUGUAGCGGUGAAAUGCGCAGAUAUCAGGAGGAACACCGAUGGCGAAGGCAGGUCUCUGGGCCAUAACUGACACUGAGAAGCGAAAGCAU